CAGCCGCCACGGUAAUACGUAGGUCCCGAGCGUUGUCCGGAUUUAUUGGGCGUAAAGCGAGCGCAGGCGGUUAGAUAAGCCUGAAGUUAAAGGCUGUGGCUUAACCAUAGUACGCUUUGGAAACUGUUUAACUUGAGUGCAAGAGGGGAGAGUGGAAUUCCAUGUGUAGCGGUGAAAUGCGUAGAUAUAUGGAGGAACACCGGUGGCGAAAGCGGCUCUCUGGCUUGUAACUGACGCUGAGGCUCGAAAGCGUGGGGAGCAAGCAGGAUUAGAGACCCGUGUAGUCCCUGUCUCUUAUACA
rnacentral:rRNA from 1 species